rnacentral:rRNA from 1 species
UGAGGAAUAUUGGUCAAUGGGCGCGAGCCUGAACCAGCCAAGUCGCGUGAGGGAAGACGGUCCUAUGGAUUGUAAACUUCUUUUAUAAAGGAAUAAAGUGAGGCACGUGUGCCUUUUUGUAUGUACUUUAUGAAUAAGGAUCGGCUAACUCCGUGCCAGCAGCCGCGGUAAUACGGAGGAUCCGAGCGUUAUCCGGAUUUAUUGGGUUUAAAGGGAGCGUAGAUGGGUUGUUAAGUCAGUUGUGAAAGUUUGCGGCUCAACCGUAAAAUUGCAAUUGAUACUGGGUCCCUUGAGUGCGGCAGAGGCAGGCGGAAUUCGUGGUGUAGCGGUGAAAUGCUUAGAUAUCACGAAGAACUCCUAUUGCGAAGGCAGCUCACCAAACUGCAACUGACAUUGAGGCUCGAAGUGUGGGGUAUCAAACAGGAUUAGAUACC